GACCCAGUGUGGUGUAGUGGUUAGAGUGUCUGACUAGGAUUUGGGAGACUUGGGUUCGAAUCCCCACGCAGCCA